GUUGGCAAAUCGGAUGAUUUUUAUUAAGUGGUUACUUGUUUCAUCUUCCAAUCGAGUACCCGGUUACUCAGAUGAUUUUUGGUAAAAGCAUCAAUAUCUAUUAUUUAUCUUUUUCUAUUCUUAUGGGUAUAGUAAUCUGCAAAUAUACUGUAUAUGGACAUUAUUUUUACAAUACACACAUACGAUAUCAUCAAAGAUUUACUGUUUUAAAAUAAAGAAAAUAAGGAAGUCGACACACCGAGAAGACAAAUAAAUAUAUCAUUGUCAAUCACCAUUUUACACUUUCCUUUUCAGCCCCCCAAAUAUGUCGCAAUCAAGGAGAAUAAUUAUUUACAUACUCCAUAAUUAAUAGUCAGUAUGUGGAGUUUCCAGUAAAUCGCUGGUUUCCGAAUAUUUAAAGAUUAGGUGAUUUAACAGAUUUUGAAUCAGCUGUUCUUCUGGUAAACUUCAAGCUUAUUAUGUCUGCGACGGCAUCUCGUUAAAUUAUCAAAUGAGGUAAUUAUAGCUCAGGUCUUCAAAAGAUAUAUACCCGAAGCAAUCAAAGCUAUCAAUUAUAUAAACUGUUAAAACUAAUCAAAACAGUUUGAUCCACUACAACCAUGCACUAGAUCAAGUCUAAUGAUAUCUAAAAUUAGAGAAAUGUGUAAGUUAGUAUACCGGUACAUUUAUAAAUUAUUAAACAUUUAUUUCUAUGCCUUUACUAUGGAGAAUUCAUUUUAUCCGAGUAACUGAAUAGCAGUUUUACUAACCGAUACUCACAUCGUUCGACAGUUAACCAGGUACUGGUUGCCAACACUAAUUAUGAUUGUAAUUUAUCAGCUUUAUCAAAUGUUUAAAAGUGGAAAAAAUAUUAUUAAACAAUAGAUACUCAACUAUUUACUAAGAAAGUAGUUUAGUGCAUUGGUAUCUAGCAUGGUAACAUUUACAAUGACACAUGUUUUAAAACGCCCAAUUUGAUUGGUCAAAAAAUGUUAGCAAAUAUAUGGUUGGUCAACGUGGUCAAGAGGGAAAACCCCAAAACCUCCUGGAACUUUAAUUUGAAGUGAACUCACUCUGAGGUACACCCAAGAAUGCCCAAGGAAAAGGUGUCUAGUCCAACCAGAGAGCCCCUUAAUCCCUGAUCAUUUAAUUUCUAUGCUUAUUGUAUAGAAAUGGGAACUCAAUAGUAUUACAAACUUUUACUUUGAGAAUAAUACAGUGGACCCUCAUGUAUCCGGACGCUUUGGUUCCCAGUCAAUAUGUCCGGAUAUGUGAAGCAUCUGGAUAUCUGAAUCACCACUUAAAUAAGACAAAAUAACAUUUAAAAAUUUCGUUCCUUUGAAAGAUUGUCCGGAUACUGAAGCAUCCGGAUAUCUGGCGUCCGGAUAUCUGAGGGUCCACUGUAUUGAUAAAUUUCUGUAUAAAAAUGCUUUUACAACAUGUAUUAAAGAUUUGUUCCUACUUAAAAAAAAAAUUCCUAUACAUUCUGAAUUAAAUUUAUGAUUUUUUUUGUUAGAAUGUUCAAGGCAACCAGAAGCUUGAGUCCAUCCUGAACAUAGAGACAACACAGAUAUUAGCAAAGCUGGAUAAUAUUGCUAGAGGAUUAGUUAAUGCAACUCAGCAAGGACUAGUGAUGGAUAUGUUCCAGGUUCCACAGCUAGGAGAAUGUCAGGAAGAAAAGCCUCAUCAUUAAAAGUGUUACAGGCACUAAAGGAAAAUGAUGGCAUUGUUUUUGUGUGGGUGAUGAGAAUAAGAGUGAGGAGGAGAUAGAUGAUAGUCAAGACAAUCAGGAUGUCCACACCGUCACUCCAGGGAAGAAGAAGUCAUUUCUGAUCCUAGAUCUACUGUGGAAGAUUCUACAUGCAAGUGACAAGAGAUACAAAAAAAAAUCCAAAGGACAUCAUGAGAAAUGAAUUUAAUCAACAGACAUUGUGGAAAAGAUUUUCUAAAAAAUAGUAAUAGGACCUUAAGAAGUGUAAAACACCAAGGAUAUACAUUUGUAAUCUUGUUAAAAACAGAGAAAAUCUUGAUUAACAUUCUACUUUCAAUUUAUAUACUUUGAGAAAUAUGAAAAAAACUGUUUUAGAGCCACAGUAAUGGAGGACAUUGAAUUCUUUGCAGCAGUUUUAUCAUUAGGCCAUUCCAUUUUUUUUCUGUGUUUAGUGACUGCAGAUGGAUUGGUUUUGAGAUCAUGCAAAUUAAGAACAAACACAAAAUAAAAUUGACAAAUACAAAUCUUUGACAAGCAAUUUACUCUUCUGGGAUCAGCAUCUCUCUUUUUUUAAAAGUGAUGUGCCUAAGUUUUUUUUUUUGUUUCAUUAAACUAGUAGUAGUAGUUUAAUUUAGUUAUAAUACGAGGAAAAUUCUUAAAUGAUGCUAAAGGAGUUCUAGAACUUUGCGUAAAAUGUUGUUUUUUCCCCUUUUGGUUUGUGAUUUUUCUUUUGGAACGAAGAAAUGUUUGAAAUUAAGGUUGGAUGGGAAACAAAGAAAAAAACUUGGAAUGGCCUCAUAUAACCUACAUGGACUAAACUUGCAUAGAUGAAGAGUGCUAACUGCUUAAGAAGCUGUGCAUGAUGUAUGUAGGAAAUGAUUUUGAAGUAUUAAAUAUUCUAUGCAAAAGGAAA